CAAAAUCCAAAAUCGGCGGCCGCCCAAGCCUCUUCUCCCGCUCCCGGCGACAGGGACAGCGCGCGCCGCCGCCGUCGCGCCCGCGGCCCGCGCCCUCACGCCGUCCCACCGCGCGGGCCGCCGCUCACGCCGUCCGCCCGUCCUACCGCGAGUCCGCGACGGCGCGCGCUCAAUCCGCCGCCGCCGCGUCACGCCGCCACCGCACCGAGCACGGGGGCCGCGACAGCCAGGCCAAGGCGCGCAGGCCGGAAGCGCCCCUCCUCCUCGUCCCAGCACUCGCAGCAGCAGCAGGCCGCCGCGACUCCCCCGCCCCAGGCUGCGGCUCCCGCCUCCUCGCCGGCUCUGUCGGACGCGACGCCCGAGCCCGCGGCCAGCGCCCUCAAGGCGGCGCGGCACGGCCACUACGCGCCGGCCGCCGCUCCCGGCCUCAAGCACUGCGCGGCGAGCCGAAGGGGUUGGCCUCGGGGCAGGCAGCUCGGCGACCAGGCAGCUCGGCGCCUCGGCCUGCGCCCCUCCCCUGCUCCCCCUGCUUUCCGCCAGUGCAGCACGACGCGGCCUCCCCGCCGGCUUGACACGGCAGUCGGCACGCCCCCGCGCCGGCGAGUACCGCCUCCUUCACGCCCCCGCGCUACCGAAGCUUCGAUUGAAUCGAUUCCCAAAAUCCCAAGUUGUCGGCUUCGGCUCGGUGCACUGCCAUGGUUGGCCAAGGAAGCAUGGAUGCUGAGAGAGAGCGUGAGACUUCCAGCCAGGGGAAGGGGAAGAUAUUUGUCGAUGGCGGUGAAAUAGAUCGUGAUGCUGGAUCCGGUGACAUUGUCAUUAGUAAAGAAGGAAAACAGGUGUGUCUACGAGGACCGAUUACAACGCCUUGGAGUCAUGGAGAAAAGUGGAAAAACAAUGGUUUCAAGUGUGGUUAUUGUUUGCUUGCUAGAGAUAGUGGAGGUGCAACCAGAUUGAGAAAUCAUCUAGCUGGAGUGGCGGGGAUGUGGUGUCAUGCAAUAAGGUGCCAAGGUUUGUGAGGGAAAUCAUGUUGGCAGAGCAAGUGAAAGGAAAAUUGAAUAAGAUGGACAUUAAAGAACACCGCCUCUUUGUGCAAAAGGCGGUCAUGGAACAAACAUAUGGAGAAGCAAGAAAGGCCAACAUUCCUACUGAUGAAGAAGGGCAGCAUAGAUGGGCAUUAAGAGAAUCAUUGAGGGAUAUAGGAGGGUCAGCUGUUAGCUAUUCACCAUCUUGUGGGGCAAGCGGCAGCAAUAGUAACACAUCACCUGCCACUAGAGUAAGUUGCUCAGGUACUCAGACAACAAUUGGUAGAUACUACUCGAGUCCUAGUAGUGCACAAGUUCCAUUUGAUUUAGACUUGGCACGUAGUAAGGCUCCAUCGCAGCCUAGGGUGGACAUUAUGCUGCAGGGAGAUGCCAAAGUGAGACUUGGAAAAGCUUGGUCAAAGUGGUUCCAUGCCAAUGAUAUUCCUGGAAGGAAAGCUGACUGUCCUUAUUUUGUAUCAGCCAUUAAAUUGACCCAACAGCUUGGAGAAGGAGUGAAUGUUCCAUCAGUAAGAGAGCUAGAUGGUCCUUUGCUAGACAGGAACUAUGAGGAUUUGCUAGCUCAAAUGAAUGAGAACAAGGGAAAUUGGGCUCGAUAUGGGGUCACAAUAAUGUCUGAUUCAUGGACAGGACCAUACAAGAUGUGCAUAAUUAAUUUCAUGAUAUUUUGCAAUGGUCGAAUGUUCUUCCAUAGUUCUGUGGAUGCAACUGGUCAAUCUCAUAAUGCUGAGUACCUCUAUAAGCAUAUUGAUCCCGUGGUUCAAGAGGUCGGGGAAAAGAACGUUAUUCAGAUUGUGACAGACAAUGGUUCCAACUACAAGGCAGCGUGCAAACAACUUGUAGCUGAAUAUCCACAUAUCACUUGGCAGCCAUGUGCUGCACAUACCAUCAACUUGAUGUUGAAAGAAAUAGCAAGCUUUAACGAGGUUGCUGAAGUAGUUCAUAGUGCGCAGCGAAUGUGUAAAUUCUUCUACAAUCAUAAUAGGCUGCAUGCUAUGAUGCGAGAGAAGAUAGGGGGAGAAUUGAUUCGAUGGAACGCCACCAGAUUUGGCACGGUUUUCUUGUUCUUGCAGAGUUUUUGGGACAGAAAAGACAAAUUUCAAGCCUGGAUGGUGUCCGAUGAAUGGAACAAAAGUGAUUGGAAAGAUGAACUAGACCGUGAUUUCACGUAUGAUUGCUUGACAAGUAGGAAGUGGUGGGAGAAUGUAGAGUUGGUGUUGAAAGCUGUUACACCACUAUAUUAUGUGCUUCGCUUUGCUGAUCAGCAGAAGAACGGGACAAUAUCUGGAUUCAUUCCAAGGAUGGUAGAUGCUCAUAAAGAAAUAUUUGCUAAAUUAAAGCAUGAUAAACUUGUGCCAAAGGAUCAUCUACAUAGAAUCAAUGAAGUAAUAACUAGGAGAACUCGAUAUCUUUUCAAUGGAACUCUCAUGCCUGCAGCUGCUGGACUGGAUCCUCAAAGAUUAUAUAAAUCAAACUAUGCACAAGAACCAGCUAUUGUCCUAGCUGUAAGUUUAGCACUCAAAAAAAUAGCAGGGUCACCAGAGGAGGCAUCAAUUGCAAUUGAUGAAUACACGAACAUAUUUAGCCAAAAGAGAUUGUUAUUCGGUUCGUUGGAGGCUCGGAGCUCUGCACUUCGUGCUAAUACCACUCCAGCUGAUUGGUGGUGGUCAUAUGGAGGUCAGUGCAAAACAUUACAAAAGCUAGCUGUGCGCAUUGUUGCACAAUGUAAUUCAUCAAGUGGCUGUGAGCGAAACUGGAGCACUUUUGCUUUGGUUCAUACUAAAUUGAGAAAUAAGUUAGGAUAUGACAAGCUAAAGAAGUUGGUCUAUGUUCAUUACAAUCUGAAGUUGCAAUUGCAACAACUUGAUGAUACUUUUCAAAGGCUUCGACAAAAAGGAGACAGAUCCAUGUAGCUUGAUGAUGGAUGUUGCUUUAUUUGAUGAAGGCAACCCCAUCAUGGAGUGGCUAUCCAACUCUAGAUCUGAGUCUACACCAAUUCUUGAUGAAUAUGAUGAUGAGGAUGAUGAUUGGACCACACAUGGAGGCUUUCUAAUCGAUGAGCUACAGAUGAAUGCAUCGGAUGUGGCUAAAUUCAAGAGGAAGCUUCGUUUCAGUCAAAAGGGCGGUAAGAAGAAAUGGAGGGGCUAUGAAAUUGUUGAUGAAUAUGCAAAUCUAUUUGAAGAUGACGGUGAUUCAGAUUCUUCACAUGGUAGCCCUGUUUAUGCUGAGUCAAAUGACAGUAGCUCUGCUAGCUCUGAUAAUGAAGAUAUUGAUGGCGAUGUGGAGGGAGGCAAAGAUGAUGGUGGUACGGCCCCUGUAACCAAAGGAGAUGGUGAAUGUGCUAGUGGUAGUAAAAUUCAUGAUAGUGCAAAUGUGAGGAUUGGAAAACCGGUUCAUAUUCGUCCGAGGUCAACUAGAAAGAAGAAACCAACUAUAAAGUGUGUCAAAGACCUCUAAAAGCAUAUGGAUGCUUUAAUGGUGAAUGGUGAUGCAAAUUGAAGCCCCAAUGGAUAAGAUAUGGACCUGCAAUGUGGUGCAAGUUCCAUAAUUUGGCAUAUUUUGGGAAGUUUUUAAACAUGUAAUAUUGGGCACUUCAUUACUUUGUAAUACCAUGGACAUGUAAUAUUGGGACUUUCCAAGUCUCCUUUGAUUUGGGACUGUUAAAACUACUAUUUGGGAUUGUUGCUGUUGAGACUUAAUUUAGGACUUGCUGUUGAGACUUAAUUUGAGAGUGUGGUGCUAUGGAUAUACCAUUUGUGUAUUAUAAUA